AAAGUUCAACUAAUCCUUUACUAGUAGUAAAGGGUUAGUUGAACAAUUAUUUCUAUAAUAUAGACUAAAUGGAUUAUUUAUAGUCUUUUUUAACUUUAUAUUUUAGUCAUAUGACAUGUAGUAACAUACCAUAUUAGUUUAAAUCAGUUGUAAAAUUAAAAAUGUUAACAUUUUUGAUAGGUACAUUUAUUUAGGUUAGUUACAGCUAAGUUUACAUGGCUAGUUAAUAUGCUUUUAUAAAUUGCUAUUUUUAUUAAUUUCCAAAUUAAACAUGUGGCAUCCAAUAUCAUAAACUAAGUUUAUACUGGUUUGUUUAUAUUAUUUCAGAAUUUUUUGUUUUAGACGCAUGGCAUUUGCUAUCCCACUGUAAGUUAAAACUAGUUGUAAAAUUAAAAAAUUUAUAUUGGAACUUCUAUUUUUUUUAACAACUAAGGUUAUAUAUGAGUUAUUUAUACUAUCUUAGAAUUUGCUGCUUUAGAGGCACGGCAUUUAGUGUCACAUUAAUUUACUGUUUUAGACACGUGGCAUGUGGUAUCCCACUAAUUAUCUAUUUUAAACAUGUGCCAAGUGGUAUGACAUUGUAUUGAUGUAUGUGAAAUGUAUAGAGUCUUUCAGUUAUCAGAUAAUGUCAAGGAGUUGACAGCAUGGUGUUCGAUUAAAAGUGCGAACCUGUGUACGAGUAACGACAGUAUUCAAAACCAAAACCUAUUUAAACCAACCAAACCAAAACUAGCGACCAAAAACUAAUAUCUUGGCAUUGGUUUAUUUUAAACAUCUAUUAUUAUAAACAUUUGAUUAGUUUUUAAUUUUUGGUUAAAACGUUUUAAUGUAAAAUAUCGAAAUAAAAUAAUGCAAAUAAAUAAAAAU